AGAUGAAGAGAGAGGAAGGGGCAAACAGCCCCUUUUAUAGCGAGUCAGACACUCCAGGCUGUUGCCAGGUAACUGUGAGGUAGAGCCUAGACGAAAUGCUAACAGAGGUCAUCAUCCUUCAGCUGCCAGAACAGAAAGCGAGACAUUUUCCUGUUGGAGGACGAACUGGGCGGGCAGUCAACCCAACAGUGGUGGGGGGCCCCUUUUGCUCACUGGUCAGUGUUAGCAUUCGGUCUAAGCCCCACCCCCACAGUUACCUGGAGUUAAGAGGGUAGUAGGGCAGAGAGAGAGAGAGAAGUAGAGAAGUGGAGGUCCGACAAGAGCACGUGGAGAGAAGGGGGUAGGGGAACAGGGAAAGAAGGGACAAAGGGGUAAGAGGGUAAGAGCAAGAGACCGAGAGCAAGAGGGAGCGAGAGAGUGAAGAGGGACCAAGCAGCCCCUUUUAUAGUGCCAGGCAUGCCUGGCUGUUGCCAGGUAACUGUGGGGCGGAACAGAUCUGGCUGUUGCCAGGUAACCGUGGGGGUGGAGCUUAGACUGAACGCUAACAGUCAGGGUGACCACGGUUAAAGUAAGCUCCAGGCAGAGUCCAUUCCUCCCCAUCUUUGGAGUCAACCUCUGUUGGGAUCUGGGUGGAAGUCGAAAAUCUCCCUGAAGAAAAAGAAGCUUAAAAUGAAGUUGGCCCAGGGAGGGAGCCAGUUUGGGAUCUGAACCUCAUCUUCGAAGGGUGACAAAGGAUGGCAACACAAAGGAGGAAGAGCGGGGGUGGGCUGUUGCACUGACCAAUCAUAUCUUCACACAAGGGGUUAAACAAGGAAGUUCAUGGAGACAAACAGGAAACAUCUGAAGAUGCAGGAUAGGAGUUGGUUCCGGGGCCUUGGGAACAUGAACUCGGUUUUGAUCCUGCCCGCAAGGUGGAAUUCGUUCCUGAAGAUGGCCGAACUCGGGAAACUUCCUCCGAACACCUCAGUGGCUGCUACCAAGAGCUGGCAUUUUGUCUGUCAGGGGAAGCCUUUUUCAUUAAACACCUUAAACGCCA